ACUUGAUGAUGUGGGCACUUACACAAAAGGCCACUAAAAUGUUCCCACUUCUCAAAAAAUUGCUCACCAUCAAUCUGUGUGAAACUAGUGAUAGCCUUCCUAAGCU